rnacentral:rRNA from 1 species
AGUGAACGCUGGCGGUAUGCCUAACACAUGCAAGUCGAACGACAGCACAGUAAGCGCUUGCUCUUACGGGUGGCGAGUGGCGGACGGGUGAGGCAUACAUCGGAUUCUACUUUUUCGUGGGGGAUAACGGAGGGAAACUUACGCUACUACCGCAUACGACCUACGGGUGAAAGCAAGGGAUAUUCGGACCUUGCGCGAUUGAAUGAGCCGAUGUCGGACUAGCUAGUUGGCGGGGUAAAGGCCCACCAUGGCGACGAUCCGUAGCUGGUCUGAGAGGAUGAUCAGCCACACUGGACCUGAGACCCGGUCCAGCCUCCUCCGGGAGGCAGCAGUGGGGAAUAUUGGCCAAUGGGCGCAAGCCUGAUCCAGCCAUACCGCGGGGGUGAAGAAGGCCUUCGGGUUGUAAAGCCCUUUUGUUGGGAAAGAAAAGCAGCAGGUUAAUACCCCGCUGUUCUGACGGUACCAAAAGAAUAAGCACCGGCUAACUUCGU